GUAAAUAUAGUUUAAACAAAAUCCUAGAUUGUGAAUCUAGUAAUAAAGGCUCAAACCCUUUUAUUUACC
rnacentral:tRNA from 1 species